rnacentral:rRNA from 1 species
UACGGAGGGUGCAAGCGUUAAUCGGAAUUACUGGGCAUAAAGCGCACGCAGGCGGUUGGGUAAGUUAGAUGUGAAAGCCCCGGGCUCAACCUGGGAAUUGCAUUUAAAACUGUCCAGCUAGAGUCUUGUAGAGGGGGGUAGAAUUCCAGGUGUAGCGGUGAAAUGCGUAGAGAUCUGGAGGAAUACCGGUGGCGAAGGCGGCCCCCUGGACAAAGACUGACGCUCAGGUGCGAAAGCGUGGGGAGCAAACAGG